rnacentral:rRNA from 1 species
CGUAAAAGGCGGCUUUUGCCGUCACUUUCAGAUGGACCCGCGGCGCAUUAGCUAGUUGGUAAGGUAACGGCUUACCAAGGCAACGAUGCGUAGCCGACCUGAGAGGGUGAUCGGCCACACUGGGACUGAGACACGGCCCAGACUCCUACGGGAGGCAGCAGUAGGGAAUCUUCCGCAAUGGACGAAAGUCUGACGGAGCAACGCCGCGUGAACGAUGAAGGUCUUCGGAUCGUAAAGUUCUGUUGUUAGGGAAGAACAAGUACCAGAGGAAAUGCUGGUACCUUGACGGUACCUAACCAGAAAGCCACGGCUAACUACGUGCCAGCAGCCGCGGUAAUACGUAGGUGGCAAGCGUUGUCCGGAAUUAUUGGGCGUAAAGCGCGCGCAGGCGGUUCCUUAAGUCUGAUGUGAAAGCCCACAGCUCAACUGUGGAGGGCCAUUGGAAACUGGGGAACUUGAGUACAGAAGAGGAGAGCGGAAUUCCACGUGUAGCGGUGAAAUGCGUA